rnacentral:rRNA from 1 species
AUUGAACGCUGGCGGCAGGCCUAACACAUGCAAGUCGAACGAGCGGCGGACGGGGGAGAAUUGUGUCGGGAUCUCCCCGAGAUAGGGGGGUAAAUCCAGGAAACAGUAGCUCUUACAGCAUACUCUCUGAUGUACCCAUAGUGGGUUAGCUAGUAGGUGGGGUAAUGGCUCACCUAGGCGACAAUCCCUAGCUGGUCUGAGAGGAUGACCAGCCACACUGGGACUGAGACACGGCCCAGACUCCUACGGGAGGCAGCAGUGGGGAAUAUUGCACAAUGGGCGCAAGCCUGAUGCAGCCAUGCCGCGUGUAUGAAGAAGGCCUUAGGGUUGUAAAGUACUUUCAGUCGGGAGGCGUUACCCACAGAAGAAGCACCGGCUAACUCCGUGCCAGCAGCCGCGGUAAUAC